GCGCCAUCUUCCUUGGUGAGUGUUGUUGUGCCGGGUCUUCUGACUUUGAAUACAAUCCAUUAACAUCUGGCCUUCACGUGUGCCAUCAUCACAGCAGCCUAACUGUAAUUUUUUUGUCUUCUUUUUAGACACUCCUGCGCCAUGAGAGCGAAGUGGCGGAAGAAGCGAAUGCGCAGGCUGAAGCGCAAGAGAAGAAAGAUGAGGCAGAGGUCCAAGUAAAUAGACUUGGGCACCACGAAGGCCGCAGACGUGAAGGAUGCUGAAGUCCAGGACGCUGGUGCGAGCUGUCGGCGGUGGAACACCCUCUCGCCGAGACCACCUGAGAAGCAGGCUGCCUUGCCUACAACAGCCCGCUUGCCGUCUGCCCUGGACCUUUGUCAUUCUGGACUGGUUCUGUUCGCUUGUGGCCAAGUGUAACUCGUGUACAAUAAACCAUCCUCGCUGUCUGAGCUGAAGAAUCAAA